rnacentral:pre_miRNA from 1 species
AGAUGAGGAUGAUGAUGAUGGUGAUGGUGAUGAUGGUGGUGGUGAUGAACAUUAACAACAUCAUCGUCAUCAUCAUCAUCAUCUAGGGUA